GGGAGUUUAGCUCAGUUGGUUUAGAGCGCCUGCCUUACAAGCAGGAGGUCACUGGUUCGAAUCCAGUAAUUCCCA
rnacentral:tRNA from 1 species